rnacentral:misc_RNA from 1 species
AACGCACAUUGCGCCCGCCAGUACUCUGGCGGGCAUGCCUGUCCGAGCGUCAUUUCAACCCUCAAGCCCCCCCUCUCCGGGGGGCUUGGUGUUGGGGACCGGCCCUCCCUGUCGUACGUGGGUGGCCGCCCCCGAAAUACAGUGGCGGUCUCGCUGCAGCUUCCUCUGCGUAGUACCUGAACCCUCGCACUGGAGCGCGGCGCGGCCACGCCGUUAAACCCCGCAACUUUUCAGAAGGUUGACCUCGGAUCAGGUAGGGAUACCCGCUGAACUUAA